GGCCCUUUUUAUCAUUGCUAUUUUUCAAAUUGAUAUUUACAGAAAAUUGAUGAUUUUUGACGCAGAUCAUAUACAUGACUAUUUCUGUGUUACAUUAAAAAAGGAAGAAAUAUUGUUUUAAAACACAACAUCUGCGGCAAAGAAUGCAGUAUUCACAGUUCGUUUAUAGGAGGAAGGUGCGUUCAAAGAUGUCAACAUAUUUUAUAUUCUGUUUAGUUUUAUCAUUUUUCGUUAGAACGGAAGGUUGCAGCGUUUGUCCAGAUGGAAUUCGAAAAUUCGCAUGCUUUGUAAAUCCAUGUAGGCAAAUCAGUUGUGAUGGUGCAACGUGCAGGCCAAACUAUUGUGGAGGUUGUAAUAGGCUAUGGUAUCAGAAUGGUAUGGAUGUAACAAAACUGUGUGAAUUUCAGUGUCCAAGUGUAGCAAACUGUUUACCGGGAGUUGAAGUAGUGACUUGUUUUGUGGAUCCGUGCAAACCCCUAGGUAUACCGAUCACAUGUCCGGGUUUUCCUAGCGCACAAUGUUGUGCAUCAUAUUGUGGAGGCUGUCAUGCAGUUUGGUACUUGAGUGGAGUGCAAGUCAUGUGUCAGGAGGGGAAAUAAUAUGUUUAUCAAUUGUAACAAAAGUUCAUUUCAUUCAAGAUAAAAUAAAUUUAACGUAUAAAAUAUUUUCAG